rnacentral:rRNA from 1 species
UACAGAGGGUGCUAGCGUUGUUCGGAAUUAUUGGGCGUAAAGGGCGCGUAGGCGGCUCGGUAUGUCGGGUGUGAAAUCCCACCUCUUAAAGGUGGAAUUGCAUUCGAAACUACCGAGCUAGAGUACCGGAGAGGAUGGUGGAAUUCCUGGUGUAGAGGUGAAAUUCGUAGAUAUCAGGAGGAACACCGGUGGCGAAGGCGGCCAUCUGGACGGAUACUGACGCUGAGGCGCGAAAGCGUGGGGAUCAAACAGG